GACGAACGCUGGCGGCGUGCUUAACACAUGCAAGUCGAACGGAAAGGCCCUGCUUUUGUGGGGUGCUCGAGUGGCGAACGGGUGAGUAACACGUGAGUAACCUGCCCUUGACUUUGGGAUAACUUCAGGAAACUGGGGCUAAUACCGGAUAGGAGCUCCUGCUGCAUGGUGGGGGUUGGAAAGUUUCGGCGGUUGGGGAUGGACUCGCGGCUUAUCAGCUUGUUGGUGGGGUAGUGGCUUACCAAGGCUUUGACGGGUAGCCGGCCUGAGAGGGUGACCGGCCACAUUGGGACUGAGAUACGGCCCAGACUCCUACGGGAGGCAGCAGUGGGGAAUAUUGCACAAUGGGCGGAAGCCUGAUGCAGCAACGCCGCGUGCGGGAUGACGGCCUUCGGGUUGUAAGCCGCUUUCGCCUGUGACGAAGCGUGAGUGACGGUAAUGGGUAAAGAAGCACCGGCUAACUACGUGCCAGCAGCCGCGGUGAUACGUAGGGUGCGAGCGUUGUCCGGAUUUAUUGGGCGUAAAGGGCUCGUAGGUGGUUGAUCGCGUCGGAAGUGUAAUCUUGGGGCUUAACCCUGAGCGUGCUUUCGAUACGGGUUGACUUGAGGAAGGUAGGGGAGAAUGGAAUUCCUGGUGGAGCGGUGGAAUGCGCAGAUAUCAGGAGGAACACCAGUGGCGAAGGCGGUUCUCUGGGCCUUUCCUGACGCUGAGGAGUGAAAGCGUGGGGAGCGAACAGGCUUAGAUACCCUGGUAGUCCACGCUGUAAACGGUGGGUACUAGGUGUGGGGUCCAUUCCACGGGUUCCGUGCCGUAGCUAACGCUUUAAGUACCCCGCCUGGGGAGUACGGCCGCAAGGCUAAAACUCAAAGGAAUUGACGGGGCCCCGCACAAGCGGCGGAGCAUGCGGAUUAAUUCGAUGCAACGCGUAGAACCUUACCUGGGUUUGACAUGGAUCGGGAGUGCUCAGAGAUGGGUGUGCCUCUUUUGGGGUCGGUUCACAGGUGGUGCAUGGCUGUCGUCAGCUCGUGUCGUGAGAUGUUGGGUUAAGUCCCGCAACGAGCGCAACCCUUGUUCACUGUUGCCAGCACGUUAUGGUGGGGACUCAGUGGAGACCGCCGGGGUCAACUCGGAGGAAGGUGGGGAUGACGUCAAGUCAUCAUGCCCCUUAUGUCCAGGGCUUCACGCAUGCUACAAUGGCUGGUACAGAGAGUGGCGAGCCUGUGAGGGUGAGCGAAUCUCGGAAAGCCGGUCUCAGUUCGGAUUGGGGUCUGCAACUCGACCUCAUGAAGUCGGAGUCGCUAGUAAUCGCAGAUCAGCAACGCUGCGGUGAAUACGUUCCCGGGGCU
rnacentral:rRNA from 1 species